AAAGAGUGUCGUGUGACCGGCUCGUCGAUUGAACGCUGUCCAAGUACUUCGACACGAUGCUAAUCGUAGCGUUUAAUUUAUCGAAGGAGUUUUAGACCGAGUCUAAAACUUAAAUUAAAAGUGGUGUACAGGUGAGUAUUAGAUUUUUUGGCCAAUCCUAAAGAAAAGAAAAAAUCCUUUAUAUCAAAAAGGGGAAGCCCGCUUUAGGGGGAAAAUUAAAAUCUCAGGGAUAGGUAGUUGUUAAGGUAAUAGCUUAACAAGCCUUAAUUCUCUUAGUCGAAGCUGAAAGGUUGAUCGACCACAUUGGGGAUGAAAAAAUCCCAAGGCAAAUAAGUACAGCAGUGAGGAAUAUUGGUCAAUGGCCGAGCGGCUGAACUGGUAACUUGGAAGAACGGUGGCCCUUAAAGAAAUCUUAGUUUGUCUUUCAAAGUCAAAAAUAUAAUGUGACUGGGCCAAUUUUAUCGAUUUAUCGAAUAAAGUUCUGUAUACAUAUUGAUAAUGACAAUAUGUACAUAUGUCUUGACCAAUUACGUGCCAGCAGUCGCGGCAAUACGUAAGAGACUAGUGUUAAUCAUCUUUAAUAGGUUUAAAGGGUACUCAGACGGAAAAAGUUUGCCUGAAAUAGGGACAAUUUUUCUAGAGUUUUAUGUAAGAAGAUCGAACUUUAGAGUGUAGAGAUAAAAUUCGUUGAUACCUAGGGGACUGGUGAGGGCGAAGGCAAUCUUUUAUGUAAAAACUGACGUCGAAGGACGAAGGCUAAGGUCGCAAAAAGGAUUAGAGACCCAAGUAGUCUUAGCAGUCAAUUAUGAAUGCCAUAGGUUAGAUGUUAGGUCUAGCCUAUAAAUGAAAGUGUAAGCAUUUCACCUCAAGAGUAAUGUGGCAACGCAGGAACUGAAAUCACUAGACCGUUUCUGACACCAGCAGUGAAGUAUGUUAUUUAAUUCGAUGACCCACGAAAAACCUUACCACAACUUGAAUAGUUGUUUUUUAUAUAUAAGUAAAUAUAUAAUUACUUCGAUAAAACAAGUGUUGCACGGCUGUCUUCAGUUAAUGUUGUGAAACUGUGGUUUAGUCCACGUAAUUAACGAAAACCCUUGCUUUAUUUGUAAAUUAAAAAAAAUAAAGUAUUUCGCCUUUAUAUGGGUAAUGAUAAAAGGGAUCAAGACAAGUCAUCAUGGCCUAGAUGUUGUGGGCUAUAGACGUGCCACAUGUUCCUAAACAAAUAGAUGCAAAAAUGUGAAUUUUAGCUAAUCUAACAAAAUAGGAUAAAAUAGAUAUGAAUUGUAGUCUGAAAUUCGGCUGCAUGAAUAAGAAAUUGCUAGUAAUCGUGAAUCACCAUGACACGGUGAAUAUUACCUCGGAUUGGUACUAACCACUCGUCACAUGCUGAAAAUAGUUUACACAAUAAGUUUGCUUCAUCUGCGCUAAGUAAGUAAAUGUCUAAGUUUUAGAUGUUAGAACAGGGUCCUUCCUAUGUGUGGCUAUGAUUAGUGUAAAGUCGAAAUACGGUUCGUGUAGUGGAAGUUGCACGGGAUUUAUCAGCGAU
rfam:Chaetomium globosum CBS 148.51 scaffold_10 mitochondrial scaffold, whole genome shotgun sequence.